rnacentral:rRNA from 1 species
UCGGCAACGGAUAUCUCGGCUCUUACAUCGAUGAAGAACGUAGCAAAAUGCGAUACUUGGUGUGAAUUGCAGAAUCCCGUGAACCAUCGAGUCUUUGAACGCAAGUUGCGCCCGAACCCUUCGGGUUGAGGGCACGUCUGCCUGGGCGUCACGUACGCAUGUCUCUCACAACCCUUCGCCCCUUGCGRACGUAGGGCUUCGUGCGAGCAGAGAUUGGUAUCCCGUGCUC